CUAGGCGAUUGUUCCUCUCGGCGGGCCCGGGCCACGGCCCCGAAUCUCUAUUCACUUCCUCACGCGCCCCGCUGCUGCCUCUGUAGUGUGACGGUGGCGUGAGUGCCCCGACCCAAGGAGCUCCAGGGAGCCCCGGCCGGGAUGCAGCAAGCCUCCUUCUCUCAGCCGAUCUGGGCGCUAAAAUCCGUAUAUAUGGCCGGGGCGCUUGGGCACCACCGCCACUUACAACAUCGCCACUUCUCCCACCUCCACUCCCCCGGGGAGCUGACCGCCAAAGCGCACUCGGAGCGGCCGGUCGGACCCCUUUGGAGCAGAGCCCGGGGACCCCCAGCAACCCACAGACUCAGCUUUGCGCACCCCACUACCCCGUCCAUCUACCCCGCCGCCACAAUCACUCUCCUGCUCGUGAAGCCGCAGGGGGCUCUACGAAACAGCCGCCCAGCCGAACCGCGGUGGCGGCGCUUGCCCCGCGUUGUCCACCCAGGUAGCAGUUCCGGACACCAUGGCCCCCAGCUCGCUGCCGCCUCCAGCCCCUCGAUGUUCCCGGGCCUUCACGAGCAGCCUCCCCAGGCCUCCCCUAGCGGCGCUCUGAAUGGACUCCUGCGUCUGGGGCUCCCCGGAGACAUGUACGCGCGACCUGAACCCUUCCCGCCGGGACCUGUGUCCCGCAGCGACGCCCUGGCAGCUGCCGCAGCCCUGCACAGCUACGGGGGCAUGAACCUGACCAUGAACCUCGCCGCGCCGCACGGUCCCGGCGCCUUCUUCCGCUACAUGCGCCAGCCCAUCAAACAGGAGCUCAUCUGCAAGUGGCUGGCGGCCGACGGCCCCAUGCCCCCGCGCCUUUGCUCCAAAACUUUCAGCACCAUGCACGAGUUGGUCACGCACGUCACCGUGGAGCACGUCGGAGGCCCUGAGCAGGCCAACCACAUCUGCUUCUGGGAGGAGUGUCCGCGCCAGGGCAAGCCCUUUAAAGCCAAAUACAAACUUGUAAAUCACAUCCGCGUGCACACGGGCGAGAAGCCCUUCCCCUGUCCUUUCCCGGGGUGUGGGAAAGUCUUUGCUAGAUCAGAAAAUCUCAAAAUACACAAAAGAACUCACACAGGGGAGAAGCCCUUCAGGUGCGAGUUCGAGGGCUGCGAACGGCGCUUUGCCAACAGCAGCGACCGCAAGAAGCACUCGCACGUUCACACGAGUGACAAGCCCUACACGUGCAAAGUGCGCGGCUGCGACAAGUGCUACACGCACCCCAGCUCGCUGCGCAAGCACAUGAAAGUGCACGGGCGCUCGCCGCCGCCGCCCAGCUCUGGCUACGACUCGGCCACGCCGUCUGCCCUCGUGUCGCCCUCGUCGGACUUCGGUCGCGAGCCCCCGGCGGCCUCCUCGGCGGCGGUGGCGGCGCGGGGCGCCGACCUGAGCGAAUGA
rnacentral:lncRNA from 1 species